UGCAAGUCGAACGGAAAGGCCCUUCGGGGUACUCGAGUGGCGAACGGGUGAGUAACACGUGGGUGAUCUGCCCUGCACUCUGGGAUAAGCCUGGGAAACUGGGUCUAAUACCGGAUAGGACCACACACUUCAUGGUGAGUGGUGCAAAGCUUUUGCGGUGUGGGAUGAGCCCGCGGCCUAUCAGCUUGUUGGUGGGGUAAUGGCCCACCAAGGCGACGACGGGUAGCCGGCCUGAGAGGGUGACCGGCCACACUGGGACUGAGAUACGGCCCAGACUCCUACGGGAGGCAGCAGUGGGGAAUAUUGCACAAUGGGCGCAAGCCUGAUGCAGCGACGCCGCGUGAGGGAUGACGGCCUUCGGGUUGUAAACCUCUUUCAGUAGGGACGAAGCGAAAGUGACGGUACCUACAGAAGAAGGACCGGCCAACUACGUGCCAGCAGCCGCGGUAAUACGUAGGGUCCGAGCGUUGUCCGGAAUUACUGGGCGUAAAGAGCUCGUAGGUGGUUUGUCGCGUUGUUCGUGAAAACUCACAGCUUAACUGUGGGCGUGCGGGCGAUACGGGCAGACUAGAGUACUGCAGGGGAGACUGGAAUUCCUGGUGUAGCGGUGGAAUGCGCAGAUAUCAGGAGGAACACCGGUGGCGAAGGCGGGUCUCUGGGCAGUAACUGACGCUGAGGAGCGAAAGCGUGGGUAGCGAACAGGAUUAGAUACCCUGGUAGUCCACGCCGUAAACGGUGGGUACUAGGUGUGGGUUUCCUUCCUUGGGAUCCGUGCCGUAGCUAACGCAUUAAGUACCCCGCCUGGGGAGUACGGUCGCAAGACUAAAACUCAAAGGAAUUGACGGGGGCCCGCACAAGCGGCGGAGCAUGUGGAUUAAUUCGAUGCAACGCGAAGAACCUUACCUGGGUUUGACAUGCACAGGACGUACCUAGAGAUAGGUAUUCCCUUGUGGCCUGUGUGCAGGUGGUGCAUGGCUGUCGUCAGCUCGUGUCGUGAGAUGUUGGGUUAAGUCCCGCAACGAGCGCAACCCUUGUCCUAUGUUGCCAGCGGGUAAUGCCGGGGACUCGUAGGAGACUGCCGGGGUCAACUCGGAGGAAGGUGGGGAUGACGUCAAGUCAUCAUGCCCCUUAUGUCCAGGGCUUCACACAUGCUACAAUGGCCAGUACAGAGGGCUGCGAAGCCGUAAGGUGGAGCGAAUCCCUUAAAGCUGGUCUCAGUUCGGAUUGGGGUCUGCAACUCGACCCCAUGAAGUCGGAGUCGCUAGUAAUCGCAGAUCAGCAACGCUGCGGUGAAUACGUUCCCGGGCCUUGUACACACCGCCCGUCACGUCAUGAAA
rnacentral:rRNA from 1 species